rnacentral:rRNA from 1 species
AUUGAACGCUGGCGGCAGGCCUAACACAUGCAAGUCGAACGAGUGGCGGACGGGUGAGUAAUGUUUGGGAAUCUAGCUUAUGGAGGGGGAUAACUACGGGAAACUGUAGCUAAUACCGCAUACCAUAGUAUGAGCCCAAGUGGGAGUAGGUUGUUGGUGGGGUAAAGGCUCACCAAGCCGACGAUCUCUAGCUGGUCUGAGAGGAUGACCAGCCACACUGGGACUGAGACACGGCCCAGACUCCUACGGGAGGCAGCAGUGGGGAAUAUUGCGCAAUGGGCGCAAGCCUGACGCAGCCAUGCCGCGUGUAUGAAGAAGGCCUUCGGGUUGUAAAGUACUUUCAGUAGGGAGGCGUUAACUACAGAAGAAGCACCGGCUAACUCCGUGCCAGCAGCCGCGGUAAUAC